rnacentral:rRNA from 1 species
GGACUACUGGGGUUUCUAAUCCUGUUUGCUCCCCACGCUUUCGCACCUCAGCGUCAAUACUUGUCCAGUCAGUCGCCUUCGCCACUGGUGUUCUUCCGAAUAUCUACGAAUUUCACCUCUACACUCGGAAUUCCACUGACCUCUCCAAGAUUCUAGCUACCUAGUUUCGAAGGCAGUUCCGGGGUUGAGCCCCGGGCUUUCACCCCCGACUUGAAUAGCCGCCUACGUGCGCUUUACGCCCAGUAAUUCCGAACAACGCUAGCUCCCUCCGUAUUACCGCGGCUGCUGGCAC